rnacentral:rRNA from 1 species
GACGAACGCUGGCGGCGUGCCUAAUACAUGCAAGUUGAGCGCUGAAGGUUGGUACUUGUACCAACUGGAUGAGCAGCGAACGGGUGAGUAACGCGUGGGGAAUCUGCCUUUGAGCGGGGGGCAACAUUUGGAAACGAAUGCUAAUACCGCAUAAAAACUUUAAACACAAGUUUUAAGUUUGAAAGAUGCAAUUGCAUCACUCAAAGAUGAUCCCGCGUUGUAUUAGCUAGUUGGUGAGGUAAAGGCUCACCAAGGCGAUGAUACAUAGCCGACCUGAGAGGGUGAUCGGCCACAUUGGGACUGAGACACGGCCCAAACUCCUACGGGAGGCAGCAGUAGGGAAUCUUCGGCAAUAGACGAAAGUCUGACCGAGCAACGCCGCGUGAGUGAAGAAGGUUUUCGGAUCGUAAAACUCUGUUGGUAGAGAAGAACGUUGGUGAGAGUGGAAAGCUCAUCAAGUGACGGUAACUACCCAGAAAGGGACGGCUAACUACGUG